ensembl:snRNA U6 U6 spliceosomal RNA
GUGCUUGCUUUAGCAGCACAUAUAUUAAAAUUAGAACAAUACAGAAAAGAUUAGGGUGGUCCCUGUGCAAGGAUGACAUGCAGAUCUGUGAAGAGUUCCAUAUUUUA